AGAAUUAGAAUCGGUUUUUUAGCAUUUAACCCCCCUUUAUGUUAUGGAUUUCAUUGUUCAAAAAAUGAUUCGCAGAGAAGAGAGAUAUUUUGUUUACGGAUUUUUGAGUAGAAUACGAUUGUGAAGUGGAUAAGAAAAGAAGGUUUGUAUGGCUUAAACACGUGUGGAGAUAUCUAUAAUAUCUGUCUUUCUUCUCUUUUAUUGUUUUAUUGUCGUUUUAUGUUCUAUUCGGGGCAACACAGGUUGUGCUCUCCGAAAACAUAAUUUCAAUUUUCUAUUCAAUUCAAAAUUCAAAUUGAAGUAUGAUACUUUUCUGAUAUCUGAUAAUUCUAUAUCGGGAACAUAUAUAAAUAAUAUAUAUCCGUCUAACAAUUUAUCUUGGGGGGUUUACAUAUACUGAUAAUUGUUGUUAUAAUUAUUAUUAAUAAUGAAAAUUGAGAAGGAUUUUUUGAUUGCAAAAAUCCAUACUGAACUGAUUGGUUAUAUAUCAUAUAUCAAGUUGUAUUUUCUUAUGUCAUUAGGAAACCAAAAUUGGGAGAUUCAAAUCCAAGAAUCAUUCAUGCAUUCUAAGGCAAUAGUUACUGGGUCCUAUUUUCUGAAAGUUGAAUUUUGUAUUUUGCGAAUGAAAAUCCACAUUUGAUUUUUCAAUAGAAAGGUAAGAGAAAGUUUUGAACAUUAUGAAUUUGGAGAUAGACUCAAUCGAAAUUGAAAGGAUGAAUCAAACCCAAUCAAAAGGGAAGAAGGAUUAGGAUUUCUUUGACUUUUAGGAAAAAUUAAGGAAAACAGAACUCAAGGUGCAAGUACAAUAAAAAAGCAGUUCAGUAAUCCGGGAAAGUUUUCAUCUAUUUUGUAUUUGUAGCAUUUUGGCGACAUGGCCGAGUGGUAAGGCAGAGGACUGCAAAUCCUUUUUUCCCCAGUUCAAAUCCGGGUGUCGCCUGAUCAACAAAAAACUGGAAAUCUCUUUUUUUCUUCUGUUGAUAUAACCCGCCGAAUGAUUCGCCAGCAGAAGCAGAGAAAGCAGACUGUUGAUACUUGUUUUGGUCUGGGUGUUUUUAGAAAAAAUUGUAAAUAUCCUUGCAUUGCAUAUUUAGGCUUAGCUUUCAAGUAAAUAUUCGAAUGCUCGAGGGGCUAUCAAGACUUCGCAAUUACCUUCUACUACAAAUCAAAAUUUUCUAUUAUUAAUCCAUUGUAUAAUGACUGGACCUUGGAGAGCCCGAUAGGAAAUCGAAAUAGUUGUGGAAGGGGGCGGAAGAUACUUUAUUAUAUACGAGGAACUCACGAAAAUAUCUCAGUGCUCAAGCAUCCAAUCAAUUCAAAUGAGGGUCAACAAAAAAAGAAUAGGACCUAUUAUUCCUACAUGUUCCAUUAGUAACAUUCCCUUGAGAUGUUACUGCGGAUUUUGCUUGGGUUUAAUCUUUCCCGAUUAUAAAUCAUAUAGAAAUUUCUUAUAAAAUGAGCGAAUUUAUUGGAUUGGUUUAUUAAUAGUCUUCGUUCUUUUUGACUCUGCGCCAUUGAUUCUACUAUUAUUAGUGAGGAAUAAUGGAACAAUUCCUUUAUAUUUAUAGAGAUAGGGGACAUAAUUCAUAUGGAUAUAGUAAGUCUUGCUUGGGCUGCUUUAAUGGUAGUCUUUACUUUUUCCCUUUCACUCGUAGUGUGGGGAAGGAGUGGACUCUAGGGGUUCUGCUAAUUGAGUUAAGGAAGCAAACUGUAUCAUUAUCAAUUGCUUUCUAGAUGGUUCUGCAACACGUUUGGAACAAAAUAAAAAUAUCUUCAUUUUGAAAUUCCAUUGGACUCGACUGGAGUAAUGUAUUAUAGGAAUCAGCCUCUUUCAAUCAAAGAGCUAUUUCAACGAUUCCCAUGUUUGUAGUUCGAAAGGAAAAGGAUCCCAGGAAAUUUAUUCGAACCUAAUUCUUACUAAAUUUUCUAUUCCAAUCAAUGGCCUCUUCCUAGGUGAUACUGAGGAGGGCCGGACCCGUUUUUUAUUUGGUUCUCUCUUUACUGUUCAAAGAAAAAGUGGUUUUGUUAAGUGUAUACGCACUUUGUAUGAGAAAGAAAGGAUAUAAACAUAGUGGUUGUCUAACGAGAUACUAUUUAGAAUAAGAUCGUCAGGUGAGUCACAUAUUGCGCAUUUACCUUUCGAAUUUUGGAAAUUGGAUUUAGACUUUAUCGACUUAUUUCAUAUCAUGGUUCAGGCCUUAAAAAUCAGUGAGGUUUACUCUUCCUUUUCGAUGCCCGUGGAACUACUGUCAAUGGUUUACUUCUUAGGAAUGUUAAAAAAAAAAAAGAUUACUACGUGAUUUUUUGAAUAUGCCUAUAUCUAUCGCUUUUGCUUCAUUGAUUUGAUUCUCUCAAUAGAUACUGAGAUUCAUAUUGGAAAUCAAAAAUAUAGUAAUUCAAACUAUAAGACAUAGGAGUAAUUCAGAUUGAUCAGAACAAAUAGAUAUAGCAAAUAAAUGGAAUUGGAUGCUAUGUCAAUCCCAUAUAUGGAAUUGAUAUUCACAUAUAUCAAGAUAAUAUUGUAGAUUGAUAUAUAGAUCCAUAUCAAAUGCAGCCUCUAUCUUUAUUUUAUUCCAGGGGGCAGCUUUAUAACAAGAAUCUAACUAAUAAAUAGUAUGGUAGAAAGAAAUAGAUGAAUCUUUCUACCAUACUAUCUAUCUAUUAGAAUACUGCCGAUUCUAGUCCACUCAUUUCAUUUAAGACAUGAAAUUGGAAUCUUUUUCAUUUUAUUUCGUCAAUUUUGGCUAAGAACUCAGAAGUCAAGUUUCAUUCAAAUUAGUUAAUAAUUAAUCGUUUUGACUGACUGUUUUUACAUAAAUGAUAAGUAGAAAAGCGGUAGGAACUAGAAUAAAUAGUGCAGUAGCAAUAAAUGCAAGAAUAUUUACUUCCAUAAUCUCAUCGGUUUUUUACUUCGCAAUAACUCGGGAUUUAAUCCCAUAGAGAUGAUAAAUCUUUGGCCUGUAAAUUCAAUGAAUGAAUAUUACCUCUCGAUGAUCUUGAAUCAGAUCAAUAUCAUGAAUAACAAUAUCUGAACUAUCAAAUAAAUUCGUCGUCGAGAAUUGAAUAGUAUAACAUAGGAAGUUCUUUUAUCCAUACCGCCCCAAACUCGGAUUGCUGACCUAACCCAAAAUUCCUUUAUUUAUUUAUCAUUUUUUAUUAUCUGUUCUUUUUUUCUCUCUAAUCUAUCUAGUUCCUUCUUGUACAAUCAUCUGAUGAAGUCUCAUCAAAUAGCUCUUCCACUUCCAGUGGUCACAUAGUUACAAACCCAAACAAACAAUAAAAGCUAAAUGGAAAAAGAAAGGAGUUUAGAACGAAACUAUUUUUGACUUGGAAGACAAAGAAGUGUGAUAAAGAUGAGACCGUAUAAAAUGAAUAUUCAUCAAAUUGACUAUUUUCCGAUUUGUUCGUUCGUCGAUGGGGCCUUAAAACAAAAUGAAAAAUAGGAAAAAUGAUUCAUUCGCCUUUCUAAGAGGAGUAGGAUCUUUGGUUGAUCUGUCCUUCCCCCUCCUUUCUUCGUCGAUUAUUAGCCCCGGGACACCUAUACCAAAAGCUCAGUGUGCAAUUUGCAUGAAAUCUAUUUUGCAACUUCAAACUAGUAAGUCAGGUUCCAUAAAUCCGUAGCCAGAAAAAGAAAUUGUUUUUUUUUUUUUUUGUUUUUUCUGGAAAGUAUUUUCUUAUAUUCAAUUUUGUAUUGGACAACAAAGGAAUUCCUUUUGUGUAUGCGCGCCUCAAAAAAGUAUAGUACUCGAUUCCAUUACAUGCAUCGGGGGCAAUCGAAAAAGCCAGCAUUUCUUGGAAUACUGACUAUAAUGCUACCAAUAAUUGUACUAAUCCAACCGCAUAUGUCUUUCUCCUACCAAAAGGAAAGAAAAAAGAAAUAAGGAUUUCCCCUUUGCUUUGACAAUGGAAUUCUUCCCCCGGUCCCCUUCAGAAAAAGGGAGAGAUUUUUUGAUAUAUUUAUUGGAUCCGUCGGGACUGACGGGGCUCGAACCCGCAGCUUCCGCCUUGACAGGGCGGUGCUCUGACCAAUUGAACUACAAUCCCAGGGAAAUACGGGAUCUAGCAGAAAAUUUGAUUCUUUUUUAUCUCCGGAUCGGGUAUUUCUGAAGUACAAAGGGAGUUAUAUCAUCUCAUGGCGGAUUGGCGAAUUAUUGGGCCGAGCUGGAUUUGAACCAGCGUAGACAUAUUGCCAACGAAUUUACAGUCCGUCCCCAUUAACCGCUCGGGCAUCGACCCAGGAAGAAUCAAUUUUCAACUUAUUGGUAAUCCAUGAUCAAUUUCCUUUCGUAGUACCCUACCCCCAGGGGAAUUCGAAUCCCCGCUGCCUCCUUGAAAGAGAGAUGUCCUAAACCACUAGACGAUGGGGGCCCGCUUGACCAACGGCCAUCAUACUAUGAUGAUAGUAUGAUCCGUUUUUUAAAAUUGUCAAUAUAAUCAAAUGAUUCUAGCCGAGGGAUCUUUCCCCCCUUCAGAAUUGCAUAGAAUUGUUUUUUAUUCGUCAUUGACGAAUUAUUCAUUAGAAUCGACAUUAGAAAUCUAGUAGUAGUAUUUUUUUUUAAUUAUUUCAAUUGAAUUUAUUUCUAUUCGAGUCGGUCUUGAAACAAUUCAUUGCAUUUUCUCCUAUACUUCCUAGGUAAAUCCAUUUUAUUAUUCAACAAUGAGCCACUAGACACUAUGUAUCUACUGCACGUACUUAAUGCAUAUAUACUUAUGUUUAUAAUAUAAGUACAUAUAGAUAUUUUAUCCACAUAGUGAAUAAUUCCGGAAUUAAAUAAAAAAGGCCCUUUUAACUCAGUGGUAGAGUAACGCCAUGGUAAGGCGUAAGUCAUCGGUUCAAAUCCGAUAAGGGGCUUUGUAAAACCCCAAUCUAGUAUUCAUAUUUGAUGGGAGAAUUUUCUUUUUAUUUGUAAUAAAAAAAGUAACUAACUGGAUAAUACAUUAUCAUUAUACUUAGUUAUAAAGUUGAACAUUUGUUUAGUCAAUUUUCAUUAGUAUGAAUUUAG
rnacentral:lncRNA from 1 species